GAAAUCUGGUACUUUCAGUGCCCGAGUUGUAAUUUGUAGAAUUUGUCUUUGAUUAGGUCCUUGUCUAUGUUCCUUGGAACAGGACGUCAUAGAGGGUGAGAAUCCCGUUUGGCGAGGAUACCUUUUCUCUGUAAGACUUUUUCGAAGAGUCGAGUUGUUUGGGAAUGCAGCUCAAAGUGGGUGGUAAAUUCCAUCUAAAGCUAAAUAUUGGCGAGAGACCGAUAGCGAACAAGUACAGUGAUGGAAAGAUGAAAAGAACUUUGAAAAGAGAGUGAAAAAGUACGUGAAAUUGUUGAAAGGGAAGGGCAUUUGAUCAGACAUGGUGUUUUUUGCAUGCACUCGCCUCUCGUGGGCUUGGGCCUCUCAAAAAUUUCACUGGGCCAACAUCAAUUCUGGCAGCAGGAUAAAUCAUUAAGAAUGUAGCUACUUCGGUAGUGUUAUAGCUUUUUGGAAUACUGUUAGCCGGGAUUGAGGACUGCGCUUCGGCAAGGAUGUUGGCAUAAUGGUUAAAUGCCGCCCGUCUUGAAA
rnacentral:rRNA from 1 species